rnacentral:rRNA from 2 species
UACAUGCAAGUCGAACGAACUCUGGUAUUGAUUGGUGCUUGCAUCAUGAUUUACAUUUGAGUGAGUGGCGAACUGGUGAGUAACACGUGGGAAACCUGCCCAGAAGCGGGGGAUAACACCUGGAAACAGAUGCUAAUACCGCAUAACAACUUGGACCGCAUGGUCCGAGUUUGAAAGAUGGCUUCGGCUAUCACUUUUGGAUGGUCCCGCGGCGUAUUAGCUAGAUGGUGRGGUAACGGCUCACCAUGGCAAUGAUACGUAGCCGACCUGAGAGGGUAAUCGGCCACAUUGGGACUGAGACACGGCCCAAACUCCUACGGGAGGCAGCAGUAGGGAAUCUUCCACAAUGGACGAAAGUCUGAUGGAGCAACGCCGCGUGAGUGAAGAAGGGUUUCGGCUCGUAAAACUCUGUUGUUAAAGAAGAACAUAUCUGAGAGUAACUGUUCAGGUAUUGACGGUAUUUAACCAGAAAGCCACGGCUAACUACGUGCCAGCAGCCGCGGUAAUACGUAGGUGGCAAGCGUUGUCCGGAUUUAUUGGGCGUAAAGCGAGCGCAGGCGGUUUUUUAAGUCUGAUGUGAAAGCCUUCGGCUCAACCGAAGAAGUGCAUCGGAAACUGGGAAACUUGAGUGCAGAAGAGGACAGUGGAACUCCAUGUGUAGCGGUGAAAUGCGUAGAUAUAUGGAAGAACACCAGUGGCGAAGGCGGCUGUCUGGUCUGUAACUGACGCUGAGGCUCGAAAGUAUGGGUAGCAAACAGGAUUAGAUACCCUGGUAGUCCAUACCGUAAACGAUGAAUGCUAAGUGUUGGAGGGUUUCCGCCCUUCAGUGCUGCAGCUAACGCAUUAAGCAUUCCGCCUGGGGAGUACGGCCGCAAGGCUGAAACUCAAAGGAAUUGACGGGGGCCCGCACAAGCGGUGGAGCAUGUGGUUUAAUUCGAAGCUACGCGAAGAACCUUACCAGGUCUUGACAUACUAUGCAAAUCUAAGAGAUUAGACGUUCCCUUCGGGGACAUGGAUACAGGUGGUGCAUGGUUGUCGUCAGCUCGUGUCGUGAGAUGUUGGGUUAAGUCCCGCAACGAGCGCAACCCUUAUUAUCAGUUGCCAGCAUUAAGUUGGGCACUCUGGUGAGACUGCCGGUGACAAACCGGAGGAAGGUGGGGAUGACGUCAAAUCAUCAUGCCCCUUAUGACCUGGGCUACACACGUGCUACAAUGGAUGGUACAACGAGUUGCGAACUCGCGAGAGUAAGCUAAUCUCUUAAAGCCAUUCUCAGUUCGGAUUGUAGGCUGCAACUCGCCUACAUGAAGUCGGAAUCGCUAGUAAUCGCGGAUCAGCAUGCCGCGGUGAAUACGUUCCCGGGCCUUGUACACACCGCCCGUCACACCAUGAGAGUUUGUAACACCCAAAGUCGGUGGGGUAACCUUUUAGGAACCAGCCGCCUAAUGGU